rnacentral:rRNA from 1 species
UACGUAGGGUGCAAGCGUUAAUCGGAAUUACUGGGCGUAAAGCGUGCGCAGGCGGCGGCUCAAGUCAGGUGUGAAAUCCCCGGGCUUAACCUGGGAAUUGCGCUUGAAACUAGGUCGCUAGAGUGUGGCAGAGGGGGGUGGAAUUCCCGGUGUAGUGGUGGAAUGCGUAGAGAUCGGGAGGAACACCAGUGGCGAAGGCGACUCGCUGGACCGGUCCUGACGCUCAGGCGCGAAAGCGUGGGGAGCGAUCCGG